UACAUGGGGUGCAAACGUUGCUCGGAAUUAUUGGGCGUAAAGCGCGCGUAGGCGGUUACUUAAGUCGGAUGUGAAAGCCCUCGGCUUAACUGAGGAAGUGCACCCGAAACUGAGUAGCUAGAGUACGAAAGAGGGUCGCGGAAUUCCCGGUGUAGAGGUGAAAUUCGUAGAUAUCAAGCGGAACACCGGUGGCGAAGGCGGCCUUCUGGACAGUGACUGACGCUGAGACGCGAAAGCGUGGGGAGCAAACAGG
rnacentral:rRNA from 1 species